GACGAACGCUGGCGGCGUGCUUAACACAUGCAAGUCGAACGGAAAGGCCCUGCUUUUGUGGGGUGCUCGAGUGGCGAACGGGUGAGUAACACGUGAGUAACCUGCCCUUGACUUUGGGAUAACUUCAGGAAACUGGGGCUAAUACCGGAUAGGAGCUCCUGCUGCAUGGUGGGGGUUGGAAAGUUUCGGCGGUUGGGGAUGGACUCGCGGCUUAUCAGCUUGUUGGUGGGGUAGUGGCUUACCAAGGCUUUGACGGGUAGCCGGCCUGAGAGGGUGACCGGCAACAUGGGACUUGGGUACGGGCCAGGCUUCAAAGGGGGGCAAGCGGUGGGAAUUAUGGCCAAUGGGGGGGAGGCUGGUGACAGAAACCCCGGUGGGGGAAGAAGGCCUUUGGGGUGGAAACCGGUUUCGGCUGGUACGGAGCGGGGGUGACGGUAAUGGGUGAAGAAGCACCGGCUAACUACGUG
rnacentral:rRNA from 1 species